rnacentral:rRNA from 1 species
GACAGCCAGGAUGUUGGCUUAGAAGCAGCCAUCAUUUAAAGAAAGCGUAAUAGCUCACUGGUCGAGUCGGCCUGCGCGGAAGAUGUAACGGGGCUAAACCAUGCACCGAAGCUGCGGCAGCGACACUAUGUGUUGUUGGGUAGGGGAGCGUUCUGUAAGCCUGUGAAGGUGUGCUGUGAGGCAUGCUGGAGGUAUCAGAAGUGCGAAUGCUGACAUAAGUAACGAUAAAGCGGGUGAAAAGCCCGCUCGCCGGAAGACCAAGGGUUCCUGUCCAACGUUAAUCGGGGCAGGGUGAGUCGACCCCUAAGG